AAGUGUUUGCUGGGGAGUCUCUUCUCUCGUGUCUGCGCUUGCAGUGCAACGUGAAUGAGGCAGUGAGAACGGUAAAGUUCAGUUUCUCACA